GUGGGGAAUAUUGGACAAUGGGGGCAACCCUGAUCCAGCCAUGCCGCGUGUGUGAAGAAGGCCUUUUGGUUGUAAAGCACUUUAAGCGAGGAGGAGGCUCUUCUAGUUAAUACCUAGGAUGAGUGGACGUUACUCGCAGAAUAAGCACCGGCUAACUCUGUGCCAGCAGCCGCGGUAAUACAGAGGGUGCGAGCGUUAAUCGGAUUUACUGGGCGUAAAGCGUACGUAGGCGGCUUUUUGAGUCGGAUGUGAAAUCCCUGAGCUUAACUUAGGAAUUGCAUUCGAUACUGGAAAGCUAGAGUAUGGGAGAGGAUGGUAGAAUUCCAGGUGUAGCGGUGAAAUGCGUAGAGAUCUGGAGGAAUACCGAUGGCGAAGGCAGCCAUCUGGCCUAAUACUGACGCUGAGGUACGAAAGCAUGGGGAGCAAACAGGAUUAGAAACCCGUGUAGUCC
rnacentral:rRNA from 1 species